GCUGAGAUUAUGCCGUAUAUGAGGGAUCGGAGUGAUUGGAGGUGCCAGUCGUUGCCGAUCUAUCGAAACGAAGAGAGUAAAUAAUCAUGAAAUUCACCGCCGUCCUGUUAUUUCUCGCCGCAGUCAUCAUGGCUGUCGCUGGUUCCCCAUUCAGGGACAAGCAUAGACCAAGUAGACCAGGAAAUGGAGGAUUCCCAACAUUCCCUGGACAAGGACCAUUCAAUCCUAAGUUACCAUCAGGACCGUGGGGCAAACCAGGCAGAAACUGAACAUCCACCAAUCUGGGCAUCUCAAUACUCAACCUCACUCCAUCAACACUUCAGAAUGUACACGAAUAAAUAAAAUCACACAUUAAAUUCCGCA